CGUUUCCCUUUUUUCGCAGUACCACAGGCUGCUAACUAAAAACAGCUAGUUUCUCUUUUAAAAAACACCUCCUUUUUUUGACAGGGUGUUUAAUGGCUUAUAAACUAAACUCCGGCUUUUGCUUUUUACCUUUUGUCUGCUUCCCGGGCUUUGUACAACUCUUUCAUGUCAGCUUGUGGUAGACUCCCAGCAGGCCUCUCUGUUCACCGGGGGAUCAUCAGUCCUCACGCCGCCCUAGUGUGCUUGCCGCUCGGCCACAGAGGCGGCAUGGGCCCGCUGUAUCGCUAGCCUCUGGAUAAAAGCUGUCAAAUUGUGGAGGAAGUGUUUUAGCUUGGAUGCUACUGCUACCGGUGACUGGCUGUCACAAUGAACGGUCCUCAGCAGAGUGACUCGAAGAGGCAGCACCUCCUGGAGAGGCUGCUGGACGCUGUCAAACAGUGCCAAAUCAGAUUUGGAGGAAGGAAGGAGAUCGCCACGGACUCAGACAGCAGGUACGAGAAGCUGUAGGAGUACUCUGUAAAUGUUAACAAGCAUAAGAAUCAUCUAAAUCAAAUCAAAUAUAUCUAAAGUUCA